rnacentral:rRNA from 1 species
UUGCCCAGGCACUCUUCAAACCAUGAGCACACCAGUCCUGCCUGACUUCAGAAGCUAAGCAGGGUUGAGCCUGGCCAGUGCUUAGAUGGGAGACCACCAGGCAUUACCCAGGCCUCUGUGUGUA